UACAGAGGGGGCAAGCGUUGUUCGGAAUUACUGGGCGUAAAGGGCGCGUAGGCGGCCUGUUAAGUCGAACGUGAAAUCCCCGGGCUCAACCCGGGAACUGCGUCCGAUACUGGCAGGCUUGAAUCCGGGAGAGGGAUGCGGAAUUCCAGGUGUAGCGGUGAAAUGCGUAGAUAUCUGGAGGAACACCGGUGGCGAAGGCGGCAUCCUGGACCGGCAUUGACGCUGAGGUGCGAAAGCUAGGGGAGCGAACGGG
rnacentral:rRNA from 1 species